CUACGGGCCGCUCCAGUGGGGAAUAUUGGGCAAUGGGCGAAAGCCUGACCCAGCAACGCCGCGUGAAGGAAGAAGGCUUUCGGGUCGUAAACUUCUAUCCCAGAUGAAGAUAAUGACGGUAAUUUGGAAGGAAGCCCCGGCUAACUACGUGCCAGCAGCCGCGGUAAUAAGUAGGGGGCAAGCGUUGUCCGGAAUGAUUGGGCGUAAAGGGCGCGUAGGCGGCCUUUUAAGUCCGAUGUGAAAGUCCUGCUUUUAAGGUGGGAAUUGCAUUGGAAACUGGAAGGCUUGAGUGCAGGAGAGGUAAGUGGAAUUCCCGGUGUAGCGGUGAAAUGCGUAGAGAUCGGGAGGAACACCAGUGGCGAAGGCGACUUACUGGACUGUAACUGACGCUGAGGCGCGAAAGUGUGGGGAGCAAACAGGAUUAGAUACCCUUGUAGUC
rnacentral:rRNA from 1 species